UCCCACGUGGUCUAGUGGCUAGGAUACUCACUCAGAAGUCCCGGAUUCGAAUCACGGCGUGGGAA